AACCGCAUAGAGCCAAACGGGUGGAUCCGCAGAGUCGACCCGGGGAAUUCAGCCCGGCCGCAAGCGGCGCUCGCAAAGUUCGGAUCCGCAAGGACCGGGCCAGCGGGACGUCCCAGUGGCAGGGUGCACUUUCUCCGCGGUCGAGUGCUACGACCGGUUUCGAGGCGGUCAGAAGCCCGGCGGAAAGGUAGCGCCGCCCUUCGGGGUGUCGUGUUAUAGGCCGCCGCGGUGGACUCGCCGCGAGACCGAGGACGCUUGCCGCGCCGAGCGGUCCCGGGCCGUCUUGGGAGGUUCGACCUCGGCUGCACUGCUCCGCAGAGCACCGUAACCGCCGCCCUAGCACGGGUCCGGAGACUGCCGGCGCCUCGGGUCAGUAGCGAAU
rnacentral:rRNA from 1 species